rnacentral:rRNA from 1 species
UACGGAGGGGGCGAGCGUUAUUCGGAAUUAUUGGGCGUAAAGAGCGCGCAGGCGGUCGUUCAAGUCGCGUGUGAAAGCCCCCGGCUCAACUGGGGAGGGUCACGCGAUACUGAUCGACUCGAAGGCAGGAGAGGGUAGUGGAAUUCCCGGUGUAGUGGUGAAAUGCGUAGAUAUCGGGAGGAACACCAGUGGCGAAGGCGACUACCUGGCCUGUUCUUGACGCUGAGGCGCGAAAGCUAGGGGAGCAAACAGG